CGCGUGCGCACAACACAGCCCGCGCGUGCUUGCCUGCGCGCGCAACCACACGGCCACCGCGCCCGUCCUGCAGCCGCACAAGUAUGUGCCGUGCUGUGAAGCGGCGGAGGAUGCGGGUUGCCGGGAGGCGUGCAGGCGGCUUCUGAAGACUCGCGCGCCCGCGGAGGACAUCGUAGACGGCCUGCAAGAGGCCGGCUGUGGACCGCCACUGCCACAUGACCGACUGUGGCAGUGCUUCCUGCAGCGUCAGCAGGAGCCAGCGGCCGGGGAGGCGGCGGCGGGGGCCGCGCCAGGGCUGGGGGCGGUCGGCGCGGAAGCGGAGGAGGC